CAAUAACUGGUUCCAUGUGAUCCAGUACAGUAUGUUAUUCUGCAAUAUGACUGCAAUUGUAGAUGUGAUCUCAUAAGUUACCCUUAAUUACAAAUGGCCACAACUUCCAAGUAGCAGGCACUCUAAGCUUUCCCUCUUUUUCACAAUGCUUUGUUUCUUCAUACAGAUGGCACACCCAUCACAGUCACUUUAAACCACCACAUAAAGGGACAUGUCUCUAUAGGGAUGGGGAUUAGCCAACGAAAAAGUGCACCAGACAAGACGUCUGCUGCUCCCAGAGAGAGGUGACUGAAUUAAAGGCAAUUUAGACUUACCAGGAAUGUAAAGAGUGGGGGAAAUAGCAUCACAACUGAAGAAAA